rnacentral:misc_RNA from 1 species
GAUGAAGAACGCAGCGAAAUGCGAUAAGUAGUGUGAAUUGCAGAAUUCAGUGAAUCAUCGAAUCUUUGAACGCACAUUGCGCCCCUUGGUAUUCCAUGGGGCAUGCCUGUUCGAGCGUCAUUUGUACCUUCAAGCCUUGCUUGGUGUUGGGUGUUUGUCUCGCCUCUGCGCGCAGACUCGCCUCAAAACAAUUGGCAGCCGGCGUAUUGAUUUCGGAGCGCAGUACAUCUCGCGCUUUGCACUCAGAACGACGACGUCCAAAAGUACAUUUUUACACUCUUGACCUCGGAUCAGGUAGGGAUACCCGCUGAACUUAAGCAUAUCAAUAAGCGGAGGA